GGAGAGUUGGCUGAGUUGGUCGAAGGCGCACGACUGGAAAUCGUGUAUGCCCCUUAAAGGCAUCCGGGGUUCGAAUCCCCGACUCUCCGCCA
rnacentral:tRNA from 1 species